rnacentral:rRNA from 1 species
GACCCGUCUUGAAACACGGACCAAGAAGUCUAUCUUGCGCGCAGUCAUGGGACUAACACACCCAAAGGCGAAGAAAACACAACUGCAAAGUUUGCGGGAUUACGGGUGCACCACAGUCCGCAAGGGCUGGCCAGCUGUGCGCCCCUCCAUCCCCGGGUGUUUAGCCGCGGGUCUGUAGUGUCGUUCCUUCCUCCGGGUUGGUUCGGCGCGAAGCUACAGAGCCAAAGCGACAUACCGCGAGCGCGCAGGAUGUGACCCGAAAGAUGGUGAACUAUGCCUGAUCAGGUUGAAGUCAGGGGAAACCCUGAUGGAGGACCGAAGCAAUUCUGACGUGCAAAUCGAUUGUCAGAGUUGGGCAUAGGGGCGAAAGACCAAUCGAACCAUCUAGUAGCUGGUUCCUUCCGA